CCUACGGGCGGCAGCAGUGGGGAAUAUUGGACAAUGGGGGCAACCCUGAUCCAGCCAUGCCGCGUGUGUGAAGAAGGCCCCCGGGUUGUAAAGCACUUUCAGUGAGGAAGAACGCCUGGUGGUUAAUACCCAUCAGGAAAGACAUCACUCACAGAAGAAGCACCGGCUAACUCCGUGCCAGCAGCCGCGGUAAUACGGAGGGUGCGAGCGUUAAUCGGAAUUACUGGGCGUAAAGCGCGCGUAGGUGGCUUGAUAAGCCGGUUGUGAAAGCCCCGGGCUCAACCUGGGAACGGCAUCCGGAACUGUCAAGCUAGAGUGCAGGAGAGGAAGGUAGAAUUCCCGGUGUAGCGGUGAAAUGCGUAGAGAUCGGGAGGAAUACCAGUGGCGAAGGCGGCCUUCUGGACUGACACUGACACUGAGGUGCGAAAGCGUGGGUAGCAAACAGGAUUAGAUACCCUAGUAGUC
rnacentral:rRNA from 1 species